UCCUGCAACCGUUGUCGCGGUGUUCGGGAAGUCCGGUGCAAAGCCGGCGCGGUACUCGCCACUGUGAGCAGGUACGUCGGCUACUCGGGGUCCACCCCAGCCACUGGAUGCGCAAGCGUCCGGGAAGGCGUAGCCGGCGGCCAUCCCUGCCGAGCCAGGAGACCGGCCGUGACGCAUACCUGCAU
rnacentral:ncRNA from 2 species